UACUACAUCACCCUCUAGAAGCCAUAAAAGACAAAAAUUAACAAACUUCUUUUUUCUCUCCAUUCUCUUUCUCACGAUUUACUUCCUCUCCACUCACCUUCCCACUCUCCACAAAAUCUGCAAAAUUAUUCUUCAUUCCUAACAAACUUGUCCUUGAUCUUAUCCAUUCUAUUCACUCAAAAUCUCCACAAUGCCCUCACUCUCAUUGCCUAUAUAACAAGCUCUCAUCACACUAAGAAAGGGGAGGAAGAAAAUUGUAUUGAAAUGCUGCAGAAAUUGUAACAAACUUCCUCCAUCUUCACAUCAUAAAUAUUGUAAACAAAAUAAACCACUUCCAUCACCUCUCAUUUGCACUUCAAUCUCCAUGGAUUAGCCUGUAAGAUCAGAACAACAAACCAACACAGAAACAACAACAACUCCUUCAUCUCAGUAAUAACAGAACCAAAACACUCCAAUAAAGUUCUUCAACAAACAACCUUCACCAACUCUCUAUCACCCUAUCUGCAAAACAAAUUCAAACCACCACCUCUGAUUCUUCAACCAAACAUAAACCAUACACUCACUUUGUCAUUAUCCAAAUUCAUCAAAAUUCACCAUAUUAUCAACCAUAACCAUAUAAACUUCAAGAAUACAAACACCCAUCUAACCAAGCUUCAUCACUGUCAAAACUAAUACUUCAUCCUUUUAUAAUUUUCACUAUUAAUCCAUCCACAAAAACUUCAACUCACAUCUCUUCAUCAUCAUCACACGCACGACUCAAACUUGUAGAUCCAUACCGCAACUCAGCCAACAAUUGAAUCACACGCGAUAAUACGCAUCAGCAACGACUCUGAACAACACAUCAGCUUCGGCAACACAAGCGACAUCGCCGCAACAACACCGACGCGACUCAAAAAGUUUCAGGCAAACUUACAGUUCGUAUCAUCUUCCACGCAUCAACUCAACAUUCCAGAAAUUUGCGAAGAAAUAGAACUUGAAGCAGAAAAAAGGAGUAGAUGCAGAGUUGUACAAGUGAAUCAUCGAGAGUUGUCAUCUCCAUCGAUUUUGAUUUCAGCAGCAAAUUGACUUCUCACCGCUAUGUGCUCGAAGUUAAUGAUGGAACAACUCCGUGAGGACUUAAAUGAGAUGAGGACAAAAAUGGGGAUUAACCUGAAUCAGUGUAUGGAGGCUAUUCAAGCCCUUGCUUUUAGACACGAAGAGUUGAGACAGGUUCUUCAGAGGCCAAAUGCAGAUGUUAAUCUCACCCCAGAAGGAGGUCUUGUGAAUCAGAAUGUAUGAGUACUAUUGAGAUUCCUAUUACUGUUAAGAAGGGAACCCAUCAUGAGAACAAUUUGGGAAUUGAAGUCCUCAAGUUUCCGAUCAUUGAAAUAACAAAAAGAUUCCACCUCUUGGAGACAAGGUUGAAAGCCAUAAAAGAUUGUGACUCCGUUGAUUUAGACAUUGUUGGAUUGUGCCUAGUGCUUGAUGUCAAGAGCUGCAAAGGUCAUUUAUUCUCUCUCUAAUUAGUUUAGACAUGCAAGUCAGAGUGGUAAUCUAUCUCUCGUGCAUAUGUGGAAGUUGCCUGGGGCUUCCGACCGAGGGAUAAGCAAGACGUAUUCUUAUCUUGAGCAUUGCACCAUUCGCAUUGCUCGAAUCCCUAAAGCAUUACAAAUUCUUGGGUGACACCGUCAGAAUCCUUUGCCAUUUGGUAAUCAAGGGUGUUCUACGAAGACAUUUCUCAUUCUCAAGCUUUCGCUUCAUAUCAUGGGUUAUCUCUUCCCGGAAUUUUCUUCUCAAAAGCCUUGGCUUGUCAACAAAGACAAAAAUAAUAUGGGAAAUGAACCGAUGUAAUUUCAAUGCCUUGUACUCAGUUAUAUCCCUGAUUGUUGAUAUUCCAGUUGGUGUUUUGGGUUUUCUUCACCAUAAAUAGCUCUCCUGAGUUCGAUGAUAAUACAACAUUCCUCCAGUCAUGAUGGUGAUUACUGUUCUAACAUCUAUGUUGGGCUCCCGACCGAGGGAUAAGCAAGACAUUGUCUAUCUCGAGUAUUGCAUCAUUUUCAUUGCUCGAAUCCCUAAAGUAAGGCAAAAUGCACCAAUUUUGUACGUCUUUUUGGAAUAUUCUUCUGGGAAGUAAUCUAAAGUGUAUGGAAGGAACGUAUGAUAAUUCUAAGUGGCUACCUUGCUGGGGCACCUAGCCAUUCAACUGAAGGUGGUAGGACAUUCAAAGGCAGAAUUCAAGUCUUCGUUGAUUUCAGAACAACCGCAUCCACUCCAAGAGGUUUUAUGCACAAAUUGAAGUCUCGAUGGGGUAUCAAAACUGCAAAAGAAAUUCGAGAGCAAUAAGUCUAUACGGAGUCAAGUCUCCUCAACAAUGGCAUUCAUUUAAGAUCUUUAUUGCAUUCUCAUUUGUAACAUUUCAUUGUUUGUUUAAGCAUUGAUUGCAUGUAAAAAUUUGGUAAUUUUCAAAUGAAAACCAUAAUACAUUGUUUAUAUUUGUCUUGAAGUAAUCCAUUUGUUUUCUCAUAAAAGUUUUUGGCAUUACGAUACCAACUUUUACUAAUCGCUUGCUUAGGCAACGAGCGGAGGGAGAAUGAUGAAAAAAAUGCAAAAUCCCUAAUUGUGUGUUUUUGAAUAAAACCCUGUUGAAGAUGUACAGACAUUGUUUCAAAUCCCCAAACACCGGAGACAUAAGGGAGAUAGACCCUCGUUAACCCCUUUGAGCCUUGAAGUAGGAGUUUCUUUUCGGAUCAGAAAAAAACUUUAUCUUAACCCUGGGGCAGGGUAGUGUUCAUUUAACCUAACCGAGUCUUUAAAACUCAUAAAGGAUAUGCAUCUAAGGAUAUAACAACGGUUAUCUUUCAAAAGGUUGAGGAAAAUCAAAACCGCGAUGGUUAUCCUUCACCUACCAAGAGGACAAAAGAUGACGAUACCACAAUGGUAAUUCUUCAUUAAUCGUGGAACGAGGCAGUCACAAUCCUUCCAACAAAUCAGAUAUUCGGGAUCACACGACUUGUUCAAAAAAAUAAAAUAAAAGAAUGAAUUAAAAAAGAGCCCGCUAAGUCAAUAACUUGAAAACAAGUGACUUAGGCAAAAGUUAGGGCAUCCCGCUGGACUUCCAAAUCAGAAUUCAAAAGAAUCUGUCCAAGAAAAAGUUAGGGAAAAAAAACAAAAGCAAAGGAGAAAAACAAGGAUUACAAAAUAAGAAUCCUCAUCUAAAGGACAAAGUCGUGUGAUUACAAGCUCAAAGAAUAAAAGGUGAAUGACUGUCACAUCAGAAAAGCCUCAUUGAUUCCUUAACCAUUUCAAAAUUCCUUGUGAGGGAUGAGCACUCAUGUUGAGUUAAUUGAAUUUAGGAAUGGAGAAUAUCAUGAAGGGGUGGGUAUCAAAUAAUUUUGAGCCUAAAAAUCCUUUGUUUCUGAAAACCAUGAACCAGGCCAAGUUACAACCCUUAAAAGUCCUAAUUGAAGUAGGGUUUUUUUUGAAAGCACACUUCGAUGAGAUGGCGUUUAGCUGACUCCCAAUGAAGCGUAACACAUAUUUAUGUUGGUAUUGUAUGUCCGCUUUACAUUUCAUUAACAAGAGGUGGCCACCUCAUUGCAUAAAGAUUUUUAAACUUCAAGACUAGCAUAGGCUUUGCAUUAGAAUUAUCAUUCUUAGAAUCAAUAUUAUUUUGCAUACAAGACAUUUGCUUAAACAUCAAUGAAAUCUCCAUAAUGAGAAUCCAUGAAGAGUUUGAUCAUGUCAAAGUAAAAGAGACUUGAGAACUCCGUAGAAUAAAAAGCAAUCAUUUCAGAGACUGAUUAGCAAAGCAAGUUGUCUGAAUACUUCAUUGAGCAUGUGCAGUUUGAUGUCCUCGUUGCUUGAUCAUUAAGGGACAAGUGCCUGAAGACUCCGUUGAGCCUGAUCAUUUUGAUAUUGUUCUUGAUUGGUUACCCUGAGGGGAAAGGGUUGAAUGCUCCAUUGAGCAAAUUAGUCGAUACCUUGUUUGAUUGACUACCCUGAGGGGAGAAGUCUGAAUACUCUGUUGAGUAGAUGAAUUUUGAUUAAGUACCUUGAGGGAAGACUCCAUUGAGCGCGAUAAAGUUGCUUCCAUAGUUUAGUUGACUUCAAGAGAAGUAGACUUGAGGAUUCCGAUAACAUGUACAUAAUCAGGGGCAGUCACGACGAGGAAUCUCUCUUGUGAGUUCAGCCUACCCGGGGCAAUCAAAUCAAGGUUUGCCAUCUCAAAUUCGACCAAUUAGGGUCAAUCAAGUCGAGGAAUCUCUCUCUUGAUUUCAAUCAAUCUAAAGCAGUGAUGUCGAGACAUCUCUCUCAGAAUUCAGUUAAUCUGGGGCAAUUAUGUCGAGAUUCAAAAAAUCUCUUCAAGGAUCUGUUGAUCAAGAGAAAGAAUAUUUCAAAUAAUUGAAUAUGUUGGGGCAAAAUUUUCUCAAGUAAUUGUGGUGUAAGGAUCCUUUCGAGGCAAAUGUCUUUGUAAAUCAGAUAUCUUCACAAGUCAGGCAGCAUGGGGCAUACUCUUUUGGUUUGUAUUAAAGAAACUGUCAUUCACCUGUAAGGUGCGGUUGGCCAUUACAUAAUGGAGAAGUGUCACAAUGCUUUUCCCCAGCAAGUUACUCUCUCCCCAAGCAUAGGAGUUUAUUUCUCCUGAGAGUGGAUUCCAUUCCUCAAGCAUAUGAGUUUAUUUCUCCUAGAAAAGUCUCUCCCCGAGCAUAGGAGUUUAUUUCUCUUGAGAAUUCAUUCUCUCCCAAAGUAUAGGAGUUUAUUUCUCCUCGGAGUUGUUCCACUCAUCUCAGAAAGGGUUCCUUAUCCGGAUUCCUAAUACCCAACAUGGUGAAUAGAGGGAAUCUUCUCAAGCUGAAAAUUCUCCAAGAAAUGGCACAUGUUGAGAAGUCAGAAGCAUUCGAUGCUCCACAAGGCAAUGACCAAAAAGGUGUAUCUUGCAAGUUAAAGCCCAAUGUCCAUUGGCACCCCCACAGAGUUCUUAACACUGAGGGGAUUCUCCCUGGUGUUUACCUCUCCCGAGGUCAGAGACGAAACUCGAUCCAUAGGGUGAACAAUUCAAAAGGUUAAAGGUGUGGAGAAUUUCAAAAGGUUAAAGGUGUGGAGAAUUCCAAGAGGUUAAAGAUGCGGAGAAUUGCAAAAAGUUAAAGACGUGGAGAACUUCGAAAAGUCAAAGGUGUGGAGUAAUUCAAAAAGCCAAACCAGGGUGAGACGCACAACAAAAGGAAAAGGCAUCCUCACACUUUACAACCUCCAACAAAUAUUUCUCCUAACUAUGAUCUUCAAGUUCAAAAGCAGGUAUUGGGAAGUCGCGCUAGCAUCACACCCACCCUAUCAAACAACCUUACAACAUUAGCGAGCUAUAUACGCUUUGGUUAUUAACAACCUAUCGUUGGAGCAUCAUACAUAAGCCAUGCAUUGCAUACAUUGGUUAAUACAUUACAUCUCCUACAUCGCAACGUCUAUUAAAAAAAAUAAAGGGUGCCAAGGGAUUGGUUCAGGACCUAAUGGUCUAGAAGGAGACUUAAACCUGAAGUUCCGCUUCUACGCAUAAGCAUUACUAGUCGGCAUAAGCAUAGUCGCUGCAUGGUUUAAACAAAUUCAAUGGAUUAUAAGGAGAUAAAAUCUAGGGAUCACCAUAUAUACAUACACAUUAGCAUACAUACAUAUGAAUUUGCAUACGCGCAACAUUUACAUGUACAGACAUCAUGCAUCUGCAAUGAUUAUACACGCGUACGAGCACCAUACUACCAAACAUUACUCAUAAACAAACGGUUCAUACAUUCGCAUUGUGCAAACAAUAGGAUCACAUGCAUAUACAUAGUUCAUAUGCAUUUACAAAACAAUCUUUUACACAGGUGAUCUUGCUAGUGUUAGAACAAGAUUUGUUCUGAUCAAUAUUCUUAGUUUCGAUGAUAACAAGGAUAUGAAUUUUGUGUGAGAUAAUGUGGUACUCUAAUACA